rnacentral:rRNA from 1 species
GACGAACGCUGGCGGCGUGCCUAACACAUGCAAGUCGAGCGGGGGUACUGAAGAGCAAUCGGAGGUACUCCAGCGGCGGACGGGUGAGUAACGCGUGAGCAACCUGCCUCUCACAGGGGGAUAACGCAGCGAAAGCUGCACUAAUACCGCAUGAGACCACGUUCCCGAUGGGGAUGAGGUCAAAGGAGCGAUCCGGUGAGAGAUGGGCUCGCGUCCGAUUAGGUAGUUGGCGGGGUAACGGCCCACCAAGCCAAAGAUCGGUAGCCGGCCUGAGAGGGUGAACGGCCAAAUUGGAACUGAGAGACCGUCCAAACUCCUACGGGAGGCAGCAGUGGGGAAUAUUGGGCAAUGGGGGAAACCCUGACCCAGCAACGCCGCGUGAGGGAAGAAGGUUUUCGGAUUGUAAAGCUCUAUCAGCAGGGAAGAUAAUGACGGUACCUGACUAAGAAGCCCCGGCUAACUACGUGCCAGCCGCCGCGGUAACAC